AACGCGAAGAACCUUACCAGGGUUUGACAUGGAGUUGCACCUCCUGGAGACAGGAGUCCCUUCGGGGCGGCUCCACAGGUGCUGCAUGGCUGUCGUCAGUUCGUGCCGUGAGGUGUUGGGUUAAGUCCCGCAACGAGCGCAACCCCUGUCGUCGGUUGGACUUUUCCGACGAGACUGCCGCGAUCAACGUGGAGGAAGGUGGGGAUGACGUCAAGUCAGCACGGCCCUUACAUCCUGGGCGACACACACGCUACAAUGGCCGGUACAGAGGGUCGCCAACCCGCGAGGGGGAGCUAAUCCCAGCAAAAACCGGUCUCAGUUCGGAUGGUAGGCUGCAACCCGCCUGCCUGAAGUGGGAGUUGCUAGUAACCGUGAGUCAGCACAUCACGGUGAAUACGUUCCCGGGCCUUGUACACACCGCACUACUA
rnacentral:rRNA from 1 species